AAAAGUUUAAAUUGGUUACCAUAUUGCUAGGCGCUUUGGUUAAAAAGGUGUCAGCCAAAUCCCAUAUACUGUAAUUUUUAUAACUAGAAUCAUGGGGUCGUGUGUGUGUGUGUGUGUGUGUGUGUGUGUGUGUGACCAAAUGGGUCUAUGUCUGGAGGAGGGGUUGGGUCUAUGCCCGGAGGAGGUGUUGGGCCCGGGCAUGUCUCUGAGUUUAUUGUUUGAAGUCCCCUUCAUGUGUCUUAUCAAACAGUUGGCUCGGCUCAGGCGUGCUGUUUAACUGACUACAAUCACAAUGGUUAAUUAUGUAUGUAUGUAUUGGGGGUCUAUGAUUCCCCCACACUUUGUAGAGGAGGUGUUGGGUCCGGACAUGUCUCUGAGUUUAUUGUUUGAAGACCCUUUCAUGUAUGCACCAUAUAGAGGGCUAGACGCUGUCGUCCUGUUUAACUGAUUACAUACACAAAUGUAUCUGUGAGAACUGUAUAUGGCUAGUGACAACUGUAUGCAUGCACGUAGAGUCAUUAUAAUGAUGUGUUUUGGUUGUGCUAGGUAGCCAUGUGUCUGCCCUGAUGUUGCUAACUACUCUGCAUAGGGGGAUGUAAGCAGUUAGUGUAUGGGGGGUUAGGAUCAAACAAUUAAACGGGUGAUGGCCGGAACCGGAGACUUGCUGUCUGAUGUUGCUAACUACUAUUCAUAUGGGGAUGUAAGCAGUUAGUGUAUGGGGCUUAGGAUCAAACAAUUAAACGGUGAUGCUGGUUAGAACCGGAGACAUGGUGUCUGAUAUUGCCAACUACUAUGCAUAUCAGGAUGUAAGUAGUUAGUGUAUUGGACAGAGGAUCAAACAAUUAAAAACGUAUUGGCAGGGGGUGGCGACUGUCUGGAUCUGCAUUUGUAAUAAGGCCUAUGGCAUACAGUAGGCGGGGUGAUGAGGGUCGUGGUCAAUGUUCCGUUGACCAAUUGAAGGCCUGGGGGCCAAACCUACAAACUAAUGUAAUGACAUAUUACCGGCCUACAUUUUGAAUGGUCAGCCCCUAAGGUUUAAAAAUCCCUGUUAGAACAUUCUGCCAGGUAUUCAUCAGUCUUCAUCAUUGACUUGUCUGUAGUCAGAAGAUAGCUGUGCAGCAUGGACCUCAGUACAUGUGAGUAUGUAUUUGCAUUAAGAUCUAUUUACCCUUACUGUCAAUGGUUGUCUAUAACAUACAUGAAAUACUUUAAUUGCCAUUAACGCAUUUUUGUUUUUUUGUUUUUGUUUUUAACAGUUUGUCAAUCCUUGGUGGUUCAUUGAAUACAACUGGUGAUCCUAUAGCAUCUAAUGUUAGACCCGGAUAUCUAAGCCUACUUUUGCAUGGUGAUAUACUUGACAAGGCAGAGGGUGAUUGUGCUUCUGAAGCCACGAGACCGGUUCUAUCUGAUGAUAAUCAGGUCAUCAGAGACUCCGACACAACAGAGUCCAUUCUGCCUGGCGAACACGAAUUGGAUAUACCGAUCGGGGUGUCUGAAGUGGAGGACACAUCGAGUAGGCCUACCCCCACGGGGUCUACAGCCGCUACAGCGGGGGUAUCAUCCGACGUCCGUAUCUAUCACAAAGCAACUGAGAAGCGUUGUCAUUGCGAUGUUGAAGAAGAUCUAAACGAAACUGAGGGGUCUGCUAAGCGGUUAUAUGUGGGUGUUCAAGAAACGAUUGAUCUGACUACAACGGAUGACGCUAUAGGCCUUGGAGACGCAUCUAUCAACAACGGGGUUGCUUAUUCAAAGGACUAUCGACCUAUUGUCAAGACUCAAUCAGAGGAUAUCAACCGCGCGGAUUUAUGGACUGAUACACAACUUGAAACAUGGGAUAUUAAUGGAACGGAUUUUGAUGACAUAUCUGACUGGGAUAUACUAAACGCUGUGGAGGCCAACGAAUACUGUGAAGUUCAUAAAAGGUCAGUUUUAACGGUUGUUGAUGACUUGGGGUCGGCUGGGCCCUCUGUAAGUAAUGCAGUGUGUGAUGUAAACUCAGGUCACUAUAAGUACACAGAUGCAGAAUCAGCCUUGGAUACUGUUGUGUUGAU